rnacentral:rRNA from 1 species
AUACGGAGACUACGAGCGUUACUCGGAUUCACUGGGCGUAAAGGGAGCGCAGGCGGAAUGGUGUGUUAGGUGUGAAAUCUCGGGGCUUAACUCCGAAAUUGCGCCUAAAACUAUCAAUCUAGAGUCUUGGAGAGGUAAGCGGAAUUUCCAGUGUAGCGGUAAAAUGCGUAGAUAUUGGAAGGAACACCGAUGGCGAAGGCAGCUUACUGGACAAGAACUGACGCUCAUGCUCGAAAGCGUGGGGAGC